AAGCAAAGCAAUGUCGAAGCGUCAUGACUGGGAGUCAGUACAAUAAUCUCUUUGUCUUGCAUCGAAUUCUGAAUCGACACCUCGCCAAACAGCAAUGGUCGCUUUGAGGCGUGCUCGGCUGCCAGAUCUCGAAUGGUCAAAUUGGUCAGGUCGGAGAGCUCAGAAUCCUUAGAGAAUACAUCAAGAUUCAGAUACGCGCUGGUC
rnacentral:misc_RNA from 1 species